CGCGCGCUACACUGAUACGUUCAACAAGCUCCUAGUCCGAAAGGUCCGGGUAAUCUUUGAAACCGUAUCGUGAUGGGGAUAGAACAUUGCAAUUAUUGUUCUUCAACGAGGAAUGCCUAGUAAGCGCGAGUCAUCAUCUCGCGUUGAUUACGUCCCUGCCCUUUGUACAC
rnacentral:rRNA from 1 species